rnacentral:lncRNA from 1 species
GUAUUUGUUAUGCAUUUUUCCAUCUGUUACUUGGGAUAUUUCCGUAAGGUUGGUGUCCCACAUCUCAAUUCAAUUUAAAUAGGAUAGGGUAUCUGUUUUGCGACUAACAUAAGAAACAUUUUUUUUCUCCUAUUUCGCUGAGAAAUAUUUCACACGCUGCUUUGGCUGAGGCAAGCAAAGCACUUGACUGUUGAGUGGCGCUGGCCCCAGCCUCUGCCUCUGCCUCUGUCUCUGCCGCUGUCGUUGGCGAAAUGUUGGGGUUCGUUGCCGUCGCAGGCGUCGUCGUAGUCGCUGGCGGAUUCGUUCGUCGGGUCGGAUCGGGUGUUGUUAUCAAUUCAGUUGCUUGCUGGCUGCAUGGCGCGACGCUUGGCACGUCUGGCCGGGGUCUGGGUCUAGCCCGGGGUCUGGUCGGAUCGACUAGUGGUGGUGUUUCGGCACGGAAAGGGGGGAGGGGAUUGUAAUCGGUUUCAGUUCAUUUUCAUUUAAAUAGAAUUAAAUAUGGCAAAUGAGUGAGUGAGAGAGAGACGACGGUCAACAUAUGUCGUCGUCGUCGUCGUCGUCUCCGUGGUGAGGUUUUUGUGGUGAAGGUGAGUGAGUGCGACGACCGACGACUACGACUACGACGACGAUUGGAGUCCCAGACCAUGACAGAAUUCCACACCCGGGUAAACCGACCGAGUCAGUCGGUGUUUUCCGUUUCUCUCUUUAUUAUAUGUAUUUUUUGUGAAACCACUUUUCCUUGGGGCAACGAGGAAUUUGUAAUCUAUAUAAUAAAUAAAUAAUUUCAAAUGUACACAGCACACAAGAGGGACAGAGCAAUAUAGAAAGAGAGAGAAACCAGUGGCGGAGCUGUGGAGUUGUGGAUGGACACGGACUGUCUGUAGUAACAAAAUCUCGUCGAAAUCGAGAUUCGAUAUUCGAGGGAAAGAACAGGCGCACAGCAAUUGCCAGCAGAGCAGUCGACAGCGAGCGGAAGAAACAGCAAGCAGCAGCAUCAACUUGCGUGAGAAAGGGAGGGAGAGCGAGCAUGCAAAGAGGCAAAGAAAUCACGAGCGUGAGCGAGCAGGCAUGGCAACAAACGCGAGAGAACAAGCUAAACGAAUCAGGGAGGGAGAGUCGAGCCAGAACAAUGAGCAACACAGUGGCAGAACAGGCAAACACACACAGCAGAAUGGGAGAGCAGAGUGCAGGCAAACGCAAACACACAGCAACAUAUGAAAGUAGACAAACGUAGCACAACGCAAAGAGAGCAAGGCGGCGCAAGUGUAAGUGAGGCAAGCGAACGGAGUGGAAGCGAAAUGAGCCAAAGCAGAGGGAGUGCCGAAGCAGUCACUCAGCGAGAGAGAGCUGAAAAAAAAUCGAUGAGUCGCCUGAUAAGCAGCAAACAGCAAAUCAGCGGAACUCGGCACCAGACCAUAUCCCAGAGACUGGGACCCGAACGGAGUGACCGACCCGACCGUACAACCAUUCGACCAGAUACCCAGCCAAACAACCACCCGUUUAGGGAAAAUAGGAAACAGAAUGCCGCGACAGCGUCAAUCCGAUGCGUGUGCCGUCGUCUGCGCUUUGUGUGCGGUGCAUCCGUGUACCUGACGCGCGCGUGUAACCGCCAAUUUAACAGGGAAACAGGCGGCGCAGAAAGAGAGUCUCGCCGCAAAGCGUCGUGUCGCGUUGCGUUGCCUCGAAUGGAGACUCGGCAGAGAGCCGACGGACCGACCAAAAUGUAUGUGGGCCACAGAGCGAGCGAGAACGAAAGAGGAGUGACUGAGCCGAGUGAAUAUCUUUGCAUUGAGGGUAGGGUUGUCAAAAGUGCUCAAAAAAUGCUCAACUGUUAGGCACACGACUGUUAAAACUAAUACAUUUAACCAAAUUAGUUAGGAUAAUACAAUUAUUCAAAUUAUUUAUAAUGAUAUUUUUUUUAUUUUAUCUUUUAUCUUAAUUAACUAUAUGCAAUUAUAUAGUAACAACUUGCUCAAACUCUUGGAAAAAAUAACAGCCGCUUUGCUAAUUAACUAUCCUCAACUUUUCUAGGUAUCAUUUGACAACCCAGAGUGACAUAUUGACUCACUCUCUCACUCCCACGCCGCAUGCACACUUCUACACACGCAUGCACAAGCAGAAACUGUUAUAAUUUAGUUGUCUCUCUCUCUUUCCCUCUCAGCCAUUAUCAACCACCCUCUGGCUGCUGUAAGCUUUACAGUUGCCGUUACAAGUAAGCUGCUCUUCUGAUGAUAAUAAAAUAAUACCUGAAAUAAUACUGAAAAUUAAACUCUUUAAAUGCUGAGGUCCCUCUUUGGGACUAAUCCGUAUAGAGUGGAAUAAACCCCAUAUUCAGAUAUUCACCUACACCAGGUUUAUGAGCGAAAUUUGCACAAACUUUGUUGUAUGACGCGUAUGCCAAGUGCUGGGUGCCGAGGAAAGGCGAGCAGGCAAACCAUAAGCGCCAGAAUGCACAGGCGGUCCCAUACGGACUCAGAUAACGAGUAAAAGACUUCAGCAAUAGCAACCGAGACAAGGGGGGGGGGGGGGGGCAGGACAAAAAGAGAUAAGCAAACGCAAAGAGAAUAAAAAAAAGCAAACCCAACAAAAUACCCUGCAAAUUUGUUGGCAUUAAUUCCAAAACCAAUCAUGUGAGAGAGCGAGCGCGAUAUGGAUCACCCAAAGAACUAUGAUAAUUGAAUGCUUAAGAGGUGGGUGGAGGAAAUGAAUACAAAGCGAAUAUACAUACAUACAUACAAAAUUGAAUUAUUGUAUAAAUCAUGUUAAUUGGCUUGCCAAAAAAGUAUACAUAUGUAUAUGCAUACGCAUACAUAUAGCAUAUUUGUCAACAUUUGAUGGUAGUUGUCGUAGCAGUCUCGUAUCAUUCGUAAAUCAUUUGGAAAAAACGAAAACAGUGUUCACUCGAUGUGCAGUGCAAGAAGAGGAGCAGAGAUC